UGAUUUGUUGGACGCUAGCGGCGGAUGGGUGAGUAACACGUGGGCAAUCUGCCCUAAAGACUGGGAUACCACUUGGAAACAGGUGCUAAUACCGGAUAACAACAUGAAUCGCAUGAUUCAAGUUUGAAAGGCGGCGUAAGCUGUCACUUUAGGAUGAGCCCGCGGCGCAUUAGCUAGUUGGUGGGGUAAAGGCCUACCAAGGCAAUGAUGCGUAGCCGAGUUGAGAGACUGAUCGGCCACAUUGGGACUGAGACACGGCCCAAACUCCUACGGGAGGCAGCAGUAGGGAAUCUUCCACAAUGGACGCAAGUCUGAUGGAGCAACGCCGCGUGAGUGAAGAAGGUUUUCGGAUCGUAAAGCUCUGUUGUUGGUGAAGAAGGA
rnacentral:rRNA from 1 species